rnacentral:misc_RNA from 1 species
GUUCCGUAGUGAACCUGCGGAGGGAUCAUUACAAGUGACCCCGGUCUAACCACCGGGAUGUUCAUAACCCUUUGUUGUCCGACUCUGUUGCCUCCGGGGCGACCCUGCCUUCGGGCGGGGGCUCCGGGUGGACACUUCAAACUCUUGCGUAACUUUGCAGUCUGAGUAAACUUAAUUAAUAAAUUAAAACUUUUAACAACGGAUCUCUUGGUUCUGGCAUCGAUGAAGAACGCAGCGAAAUGCGAUAAGUAAUGUGAAUUGCAGAAUUCAGUGAAUCAUCGAAUCUUUGAACGCACAUUGCGCCCCCUGGUAUUCCGGGGGGCAUGCCUGUUCGAGCGUCAUUUCACCACUCAAGCCUCGCUUGGUAUUGGGCAACGCGGUCCGCCGCGUGCCUCAAAUCGACCGGCUGGGUCUUCUGUCCCCUAAGCGUUGUGGAAACUAUUCGCUAAAGGGUGUUCGGGAGGCUACGCCGUAAAACAACCCCAUUUCUAAGGUUGACCUCGGAUCAGGUAGGGAUACCCGCUGAACUUAAGCAUAUCAAUAA